rnacentral:rRNA from 1 species
GGCUAUGGCCAUACCAGCCUGAACAUGCCCAAUCUCGUCUGAUCUCAGAAGCUAAGCUGGGUGGGGCCUGGUUAGUACUUGGAUGGGAGAAGAAUGGGCUCCAGUACCACUCAGGAUAAUACAAGAGGUGCUAGUUC